rnacentral:lncRNA from 1 species
ACCUGCGCCAUGUGUGGAAACAAUUCCUAAACGAGCACGAGGUGGAGCUCCAGUUUCAUUUCCCACGUUGAAACCAAUUUCAAAACAUCCUGGUGUGAAAAUUGGCAUUGCGAACCGAAUAGUCCAUUGCUGUGGAGUCAUGUUCAGAAUUCUCUUUUCGAAAAACAAGCUACGUAAUGAGGGAGCUGUCACGGGAAUUUGGACAUCAAAUACCGAUGACGAUAGACAAAUUUCAGUGACAUUAGCACUCCAAAAUUGCGAAUUCAAGAAAACCUGAUCGAUUCCUUUUGCAGUCCAAAUUUCGCUUUCAUAACUCCAAUUAUCCUUAAAAUAAUUUUAAAUGUUUUAUUACACAUUUUAAUAAUCAACUCAGUACGGAAAAGUUCUUCCGGCGCGCAGGAAAACUAGCAGAUAAUAGAUAAAACCGGCAUAAAUACGUACAAUAUUUGUGAUAAAGUGUCUACUGAGGCGUUCACUUUCCACUAUAAUUGUACAGCAAGCAGUCGAACUGUCGUCACUAUAGUCAAGCUUUAUUUAAUUGUUUGAAAUUCCUUCAGAUUGCAAAAUUAUGCAUGGUCAUUGUCAUUUGAAGGCAGAGCUUCAGCCCCUAUUAUUUCGGGAAAUCUAUGCUUUCUCUAAAUCUCUGUUUGUUUUGCCCUCGCUGGUUAUCUCAAGGAUGUAAAAGGAUUUUCUGUUUGGCUGGGCCUGGAUGAAAUUUCGAUUGGUGCGGAUACAUUACAGAAAGGAUCGCAUUCUCCAUCUUUUAGUUUUGUGUCUCCUCAAGUAAGUUCAAUAAUGAGACUUCUGUGGCGCAGUCGUCAGAGCAAAUGACUUUCACCUCUGAGAUAGUGGGCUCGUUUCUCGCUAGAGACUCAUGUGAAAAGAGUUAGUGGGUUAUCUCCUAGUGCUCCGGUUUCUUCCCACAGGGAAAGUUGACAGGGUGGGUUAAGAUAAACACAGUUAGGAACGUAAUAUUACAAUUGUUGUAAAGACAAAUAGUCUAGAUAUUGUUGUAAAGACAAAUAGUCUAUGAUAAAGGCCUAUGUUUGGGUGAAGCCGAAUUUCG